rnacentral:rRNA from 1 species
GGGUGCGUAACGCGGAACCACGCUACCCGAAUCUGGGGGAUAGCCCGCCGAAAGGGGGAUUAAUACCGCCGAAACUGCAGGACGGCCUCGUUCAACUGUUAAAGAUUUAUUGGAUUCGGAUGGGGUUGCGUGCCAUUAGCUAGUUGGGGGGGUAACGGCCCACCAAGGCGACGAUGGCUAGGGGAGCUGAGAGGCUGGUCCCCCACACUGACACUGAGAUACCGCCCCGACUCCUACAGAAGGCAGCACUACGGAAUAUUGGGCAAUGGUCGAGAGACUGACCCAGCCGUGCCACGUGCAGGAUGAAGGCUUUCUGAGUCGUAAACUGCUUUUGCCAAGGAAGAAAAAGGGUUAUGCGUCCUCUACUGACGGUACCUGGUGAAUAACCACCGGCUAACUCCGUGCCAGCAGCCGCGGAAUUACGGACGGUGCACGCGUUGUCCGGAAUUAUUGGGUUUAAAGGGUGCGUAAGCGGCUUUUUAAGUCUGGGGUGAAAGCCCGUUGCUCAGCAACGGAACUGCCCUGCACACUGGAGAGCUUGAGUACAGACCAGGGUGGCUUAAUGGAUACUGAAGCGGUGAAAUGCAUAGAUGGUAUCCAGAACCCCGAUUGCGAAAGCCGCUGCCUAGACUGUAACUGACGCUGACGCACCAGAGCGUGAGGAGCGAACAGGAUUACAUGCCCUGGUAGUCCGCGCCGUAAACGAUGGAUACUCGCUGGUGGCGACAGACUGCUCACUGGCUUAGCACAAACGUUCAGUAUCCCACCUGGAGAGUACACUCGCAAGAGUGAAGCUCACACUAGUUGACGGGAGCCCGCACAAGUGUUGGAGCAUGUCGC